GCCUUUAAACAGAAGUAGCUUUUGGAGAGAACUAUUUUGAACAUGCCUUGACAAGGAUAAACCUGCUCAUUUUAUACAAGAGUUCACUGUGUGCUUGAGGCAUACAGUAAGGCAAAACCAAGUCUUUUGCAUAGCCUAAAAGAAAAAAUUCUAGCUAUGUUGUGCUGAGCCAGAGUAGCUCCAGCACUUCAGUCUGGAGAUUUUCUGUUUUCCCUGGAAAAGGCUUCAUGAGCGAUAGAAAAGAGACUUCCCACAUCAUAUUCCAAGCUGUGGAGUAGGCACUUCCAGGAAAAGCCUGUGACUUCCUUGUACCCAGCCUGAUUUUCUGCGUAGACCUUCUGUUCCUGAGCCCUUGCACAUGCCAGGACGCUGCUUCUGUCUCAAGGUAAGGCAGGAGGGGCACGGCAUGGAAAAGGCAAAUGGUUUUGCAGGUGCUGAAUGUUCCUCCGGGGCUCCGUGUGCCACCCCUAGAGGGCUCCCGCCUUCCUUUGGCCAGAGGAGAGAACCAAAAAGCGGUGGGAAAGGGUGCGGGAUUUUGGCCAUGGCCACAGACUCCGCAGAAGAGCCCUCUGCAUAUUGUGUCAUUCCCUUAAUAUUUUCAUCUCGCGGGUGGACACUGGAAAGCUGAGUGGGAAACGUUUCUUUGCAUAAUAUAAUCCUUCCUUCCACAUGUCUUUUAAGAAGUUGCAGUGUUUCUGGCACUAAUUCUGUGAUUUGCUUUUUACUGGUUAAAAUCCAAGUAGCUGGUUCAGGUUGGGGCCCAGCUGCUCAAUAUCAGAUCUCUGAUAAUGGACAGCAGCAGUAAUUUGGGGAGAGUGCAAAAAGCCUUUUAAAUGGUAGGCAAGAAAUAAAUCUUUCAUGUAAAGAGUGGGACUAAACAAGUAUAGGUUAGAAUAAUAUUCUUUUUUUGCAUCUCUUAGUUGAGAUUAAAAAAAACUCUGAAGCCUUGUUUCGCUUUAUAUAAGACAUAAAAGGUACUUCUCUGUGUGUUUUUCGGGCUUCAGGAGAUACCUUUCUUUCAGUUGACAGCCCAGUUCGUUUAUGAAACCAAGUUCUGGUGGCAGUGUGGGGAAAGGACAAAAAAGUUAAACGAUGGAUAAGAAGACACUUCAGCCUUUCUGUAUAAUUAAUUAUAGUCAUUUAAAAUCUUGAGCAAAGUCUGUGUUUGGAGAAGUUUCAAAGUUAUAAUUAAGCCAAGCUGGUAACGAUGGAUCUAAUUGUUGGGUUACAGAUGGGUGCAGGUAAUGCGAGUUGGGCCACUGACAUCAGAUAUUUCACUCAAUUGUUUUCUACUGAUGCAGCUAAUUCCACACAACUGUUCCAGCAGCUGGACUGACCGGCAUGAGUUGAAGUGUGGAUGAACGUCAAGAGUUUUCCCUGACAGACUUAACUGGCUGAAGGUCGUUGGUCUUUAAAGUCACCUGAAGCCUCAUAUCUUUCAGAAGAACUGAAAUGUUGCUGUUGAGGCAAAGGUCGAAUUCAACAGUGCCAGGAGGCUUUGGUGUUGCACUGAACAGUCAGAAGUGUUUGCAAAGAGAAUCCCAAGCUACUGCUAGGAUCCAAACUUGGAAUGGUUUUUAAUAAGGCUUUGCAUUUGAGAUGUUGCUGUGUUUUAGAGAGUAUCCUGGAAAAGUCAACAGAGAUGUAAUGGAAAAAAAGAAAUAUAAAGAUCACAAUUCUGUCUGGGGAAACUGAGUUUUGUCUUAUGUAGUAAGCACCCAUCUUAACCCUGCUAGAGCAGAACAAACUCCCUUCUCCAGCAGAAACCUGAGUUUGUUGUUAAUUAACGUCUUGCUGGAAACUAAGUCUUUGCCAUCUGUUCCACCACCUCACUACGAAUGCCGCUCUCGUGUUGAUUAUGUAAGUAAAAAUGAAAAUAUAUUUUGAUGGAGUGCUGCACGGCACUGUGCUGACUCUUCUCCUGUUCCUAUUUACCAUUCCCUGCCCCCAUCCCACAAGGAAAGAAAAAGGUGACAAUUGUUUGACUUCUUGGCAGCUUUAUCCUGGAGCUGCCAUUAUGGCUGCCAAGCCCUGUGUGUUGUGGGAGCAGCCACCUCAUCCCUGCUGCAUUUGAGCUGGGAGCCCUUUGCAAACCCUGGUUAUUAGACUCAUGAAAAGUCCGUAUCAGGAAGAUGCUCCUUGAACUGAAGCUGCUCUAAAUUCUUGUGAGGGGUUAACUUGAAAUCCAGAAGAAGAAAAUUGAAAAGAAAAAGGCUAGGUUACUCCAUAAGUGAUAGCAUGACCUCUGAGAGCAGCCGGCUGCUCCUGUUACAAGCGUGGCCUCUGUCUGUCUAAGGGUGGAGGAAGAGAGAAAGAGGAGGGGUAGUUUUCCUGUAAGUGGGUUAGAGCAAUUACUGAGGUCUCUUACAGCAAAUGAAGUUGUCAGUGUGAGUCACAUUCCCUUUUUUCUCUCACUGCCAAGUUUUAGGCAGUAACCAGACAGAAGGAAGAAAAGAAAAAAAAAGGACAAGCAACAAUAGGGAAAAGUUGAACUGAAACAACCCUUCAUUCGGGGUAUUGUUUGACGUUUUUGCUCUGAUUGUACAUAGAGAUAAAGGAGCUAUAAAUAUCCUGUCUGCUGAAAUUCCUUAUCACAACAUCGCCUGUCAGCUGAACAAAUAGGUUAGGUUCUCCAAAUAAUACAUAAUUACAUAUGUAAAUAUAAAAUUACUGAUUAAAUCCCUGCGCCACAUGCAAUGGAGCUUCAUCCCCGGGGGAGGACAUUAACCUCUUGUGGUGUUCUGAGAGGUGCCACAGCCCCAGCACAGCAAGUGGCACAUGCAGCUGGUACUGGUGAAGUGGCACAAGCUCAGAGACAGGGCUUGAAUAAGCAAGGAGAUAUUUAUCUGCCUGACUAGAUGAGAUGAAAGCAUCUUCUGACACUUUUUGAAAGUAUUUGAGCAUUUAGUUCUGUUUAGCAAGCGGCUGGAAGCUUUUCUACUCUGCUUCAGAGCUUUUAAUGAAGCAUUGUGAUUCCCAUUGUGGUCAAUUGUUUGACACUUUUAUUAUUACUGGUAUGCAGAGCGUUUUUUAAUAUUUGACGGCUGGAGAAAGAAGUAUUUUGUGCAUUCAAAGUUCUAGCACAAAGCUGCUGUUUUCCAUUCUGCCUUUGUCUUUUAUUCUGGCUGAUGCAAAUAAACGAAAGACAGAACUGAUUAAAUUACAUUUGUUUACUUCU